GACGAACGCUGGCGGCGUGCUUAACACAUGCAAGUCGAACGAAGUGGCGAACGGGUGAGUAACGCGUAAUCAACCUGCCCUUCGGAGGGGAACAACAGUUGGAAACGACUGCUAAUACCGCAUACUGAAGGAGGGGAUUGCGUCUGAUUAGCUAGUUGGAGGGGUAACGUGCCACCAAGGCGAUGAUCAGUAGCCGUGCUGAGAGGAAGGACGGGCACAUUGGGACUGGGACACGGCCCAGGCUCCUACGGGAGGCCGCCGUGGGGAAUCUUCCGCAAUGGGCGAAAGUCUGACGGAGCAACGCCCGGUGAGUGAUGACAGCCUUCGGGUUGUAAAGCUCUUUUAAUCGGGACGCGGUACCGGAAUAGAAAGCCACGGCUAACUACGUGCCAGCCGCCGCGGUAAUUC
rnacentral:rRNA from 1 species